UGGGGAAUUUUGGACAAUGGGGGAAACCCUGAUCCAGCCAUCCCGCGUGUGCGAUGAAGGCCUUCGGGUUGUAAAGCACUUUUGGCAGGAAAGAAACGUCGCGGGUUAAUACCCCGCGAAACUGACGGUACCUGCAGAAUAAGCACCGGCUAACUACGUGCCAGCAGCCGCGGUAAUACGUAGGGUGCAAGCGUUAAUCGGAAUUACUGGGCGUAAAGCGUGCGCAGGCGGUUCGGAAAGAAAGAGUGAAAUCCCAGAGCUUAACUUUGGAACUGCAUUUUUAACUACCGGGCUAGAGUGUGUCAGAGGGAGGUGGAAUUCCGCGUGUAGCAGUGAAAUGCGUAGAUAUGCGGAGGAACACCGAUGGCGAAGGCAGCCUCCUGGGAUAACACUGACGCUCAUGCACGAAAGCGUGGGGAGCAAACAGGAUUAGAUACCCUGGUAGUCCACGCCCUAAACGAUGUCAACUAGCUGUUGGGGCCUUCGGGCCUUGGUAGCGCAGCUAACGCGUGAAGUUGACCGCCUGGGGAGUACGGUCGCAAGAUU
rnacentral:rRNA from 1 species